rnacentral:rRNA from 1 species
CCCUUAGAUGUUCUGGGCCGCACGCGCGCUACACUGUUCGACGCAGCGAGUCUUAACCUUGACCGAAAGGUUUGGGUAAUCUUCAGCAAAGUCGAACGUGAUGGGGAUCGAUCAUUGCAAUUAUUGAUCGUGAACGAGGAAUUCCCAGUAAGUGCAAGUCAUCAGCUUGCGCUGAUUACGUCCCUGCCCUUUGUACACACCGCCCGUCGCUACUACCGAUUGAAUGGUUUAGUGAGAUCUCUGGAUUGACGCUGGCUAGGGGGCGACCCUUGGCCAGGCUGUCGAGAAACUGCUCAAACUUGAUCAUUUAGAGGAAGUAAAAGUCGUAACA